rnacentral:rRNA from 1 species
CCUACGGGAGGCAGCAGUGAGGAAUAUUGGUCAAUGGGCGUAAGCCUGAACCAGCCAAGUCGCGUGAGGGAUGAAGGUUCUAUGGAUCGUAAACCUCUUUUAUAAGGGAAUAAAGUGUGGGACGUGUCCUGUUUUGUAUGUACCUUAUGAAUAAGGAUCGGCUAACUCCGUGCCAGCAGCCGCGGUAAUACGGAGGAUCCGAGCGUUAUCCGGAUUUAUUGGGUUUAAAGGGUGCGUAGGCGGCCUUUUAAGUCAGCGGUGAAAGUCUGUGGCUCAACCAUAGAAUGGCCGUUGAAACUGGGAGGCUUGAGUAUGUUUGAGGCAGGCGGAAUGCGUGGUGUAGCGGUGAAAUGCUUAGAUAUCACGCAGAACCCCGAUUGCGAAGGCAGCCUGCCAGGCCAUGACUGACGCUGAUGCACGAAAGCGUGGGGAUCAAACAGGAUUAGAUACCCGGGUAGUC